UACGUAGGGUGCAAGCGUUGUCCGGAAUUAUUGGGCGUAAAGAGCUUGUAGGCGGUUUGUCGCGUCUGCUGUGAAAUUUCGGGGCUCAACCCCGAACUUGCAGUGGGUACGGGCAGACUAGAGUGUGGUAGGGGAGACUGGAAUUCCUGGUGUAGCGGUGAAAUACGCAGAUAUCAGGAGGAACACCGAUAGCGAAGGCAGCUCGCUGGGACGGUACUGACGCUGAGGCGCGAAAGCGUGGGGAGCGAACAGG
rnacentral:rRNA from 1 species